GAUGAACGCUGGCGGCGUGCUUAACACAUGCAAGUCGAACGGUGAAGGAGAGCUUGCUCUCUGGAUCAGUGGCGAACGGGUGAGUAACACGUGAGCAAUCUGCCCCUGACUCUGGGAUAACAGUUGGAAACAGCUGCUAAUACCGGAUACGAGCUUCGAAGGCAUCUUCAGAAGCUGGAAAGAACUUCGGUCAGGGAUGAGCUCGCGGCCUAUCAGCUAGUUGGUGAGGUAAUGGCUCACCAAGGCGUCGACGGGUAGCCGGCCUGAGAGGGUGACCGGCCACACUGGGACUGAGACACGGCCCAGACUCCUACGGGAGGC
rnacentral:rRNA from 1 species